rnacentral:rRNA from 1 species
UACGGGGGGGGCAAGCGUUGUUCGGAAUUACUGGGCGUAAAGGGCUUGUAGGUGGCCAACUAAGUCAGACGUGAAAUCCCCGGGCUCAACCUGGGAACUGCAUUCAAAACUGACGAGCUAGAGUAUGGUAGAGGGUGGUGGAAUUUCCUGUGUAGCGGUGAAAUGCGUAGAUAUAGGAAGGAACACCAGUGGCGAAGGCGACCACCUGGACUGAUACUGACACUGAGGUGCGAAAGCGUGGGGAGCAAACAGG